UACGUAGGGGGCAAGCGUUGUCCGGAUUUAUUGGGCGUAAAGAGCGUGUAGGCGGCUUGGUAGGUCCGCUGUGAAAACUCGAGGCUCAACCUCGAGAUGUCGGCGGAAACCACUUGGCUAGAGUCCGGAAGAGGAGAGUGGAAUUCCUGGUGUAGCGGUGAAAUGCGUAGAUAUCAGGAGGAAUACCGGUGGCGAAAGCGGCUCUCUGGACGGCAACUGACGCUGAGGCACGAAAGCGUGGGGAGCAAACAGG
rnacentral:rRNA from 1 species